ensembl:snRNA U6 U6 spliceosomal RNA
GUGCUGUCUCUGGCAGCACAUGCACUAAAAAAUCGGAAUGAUACAGAGAUUAGCAUGGCCCCUGCACAAUGAUGCCAUGCAAAUUUAUGAAAUAUUCCAUAUUUUU